rnacentral:rRNA from 1 species
AGUGAACGCUGGCGGUAGGCCUAACACAUGCAAGUCGAACGGCGGCACAGUAAGAGCUUGCUCUUACGGGUGGCGAGUGGCGGACGGGUGAGGAAUACAUCGGAAUCUACUUUUUCGUGGGGGAUAACGUAGGGAAACUUACGCUAAUACCGCAUACGACCUACGGGUGAAAGCAGGGGAUCUUCGGACCUUGCGCGAUUGAAUGAGCUGAUGUCGGAUUAGCUAGUUGGCGGGGUAAAGGCCCACCAAGGCGACGAUCCGUAGCUGGUCUGAGAGGCUGAUCAGCCACACUGGAACUGAGACACGGUCCAGACUCCUACGGGAGGCAGCAGUGGGGAAUAUUGGACAAUGGGCGCAAGCCUGAUCCAGCCAUCCCGCGUGGGUGAAGAAGGCCUUCGGGUUGUAAAGCCCUUUUGUUGGGAAAGAAAAGCAGCAGGUUAAUACCCCGCUGUUCUGACGGUACCCAAAGAAUAAGCACCGGCUAACUUCGUG